rnacentral:lncRNA from 1 species
UGUUAGAAUAUAGAAAAUAUUAUAUUAUUUGUUGAGAAAAUAUCUCUAUGAUUUGGUUUGUUUAUUCUUAGCCCUAUAAUAAAGGGAUUUAGUUUAGAUUUAAGUUUAUUCACUUGGUUAUAAAUACCAAGCUAGUCAUACUAUUUUAUUCAUGUAAAUAGUAAUGUAAAUAAUGUAAAUAUUGUAAUUAGGGUUAUUGACAUCAUUAUCA